GAGCUUGCUCCUUUGACGUUAGCGGCGGACGGGUGAUAACACGUGGGUAACCUACCUAUAAGAUGGGAUAAACUUCGGGACCGGAGCUAAUUACCGGAAUAUUUUCGAACCGCAUGGUUCGAUAGUGAAAGAGGUUUUGCUAUCACUUAUAGAGGACCCGCGCCGUAUUAGCUAGUUGGUAAGGUAACGGCUUACCAAGGCGACGAUACGUAGCCACCUGAGAGGGUGAUCGGCCACACUGGAACCUGAAACACGGUCCAAACUCUACGGGAG
rnacentral:rRNA from 1 species